ensembl:lncRNA
UUGGUGAGUUAAAUGAUCAUCUCAGCAUCUCUCUCAUUAUGGAGAUGUGACCAGAGAUAUUUCUAGUCAUUAAAACAGGUGCACUGUGAGUAUCUGAUUCAAUGACUACACUUCUAUUCAUUUCUAUUCUGAUUGAUAAGAAUCCCCAGACUCUGUUUUUCAUAAUUAUUGAUCAUAAACUAGAUCACAGAAUACCCACGUUCAGAGGAAGCAGAGAUUGCCUCACCCAAACCUUUUAUUUUCCAGAAGAGGAAACUGAGUCCCAGCAAGAUUAAAAAAUGACUUGCCCGAUUUUGGUCAACAAUUGGUUUGGGUUAAAACCAGGAGCACUUCAGCGCCCUUUCCCAAAGAUUUCUCCUUUCGGGACAUCUCAAGAAUUGAAAGCCUGCAAGAAGUUCCAGAUAAAGAUGCAAGAUGCUGAAGAAUCAAUAACAUUCACGGAGUGCUUACUA